UAUGGUGGUUAUGCCGAGGGUGUUCACCUCUUCCCAUUCCGAACAGAGAAGUUAAGCCCCUCAUGGCCGAUGGUACUGCA
rnacentral:rRNA from 1 species